rnacentral:rRNA from 1 species
GNGAANGUNNNCUGCAGUCGACGAUUCCUACGGGAGGCAGCAGCAGGGAAUUUUGCACAAUGGGCGCAAGCCUGAUGCAGCGACGCCGCGUGAGGGAUGAAGGCCUUCGGGUUGUAAACCUCUUUCAGGAGGGACGAAGCGCAAGUGACGGUACCUCCAGAAGAAGCCCCGGCCAACUACGUGCCAGCAGCCGCGGUAAUACGUAGGGGGCGAGCGUUGUCCGGAUUCAUUGGGCGUAAAGAGCUCGUAGGCGGCUCAGUAAGUCGGCCGUGAAAGCCCAGGGCUCAACCCUGGGAGGCCGGUCGAUACUGCUGUGGCUAGGGUCCGGUAGAGGAGAGUGGAAUUCCCGGUGUAGCGGUGAAAUGCGCAGAUAUCGGGAGGAACACCAGUAGCGAAGGCGGCUCUCUGGGCCGGUACCGACGCUGAGGAGCGAAAGCUAGGGGAGCAAACAGGAUUAGAUACCCUGGUAGUCCUAGCCGUAAACGUUGGGCACUAGGUGUGGCGGAUUCAUUGACAUCUGCCGUGCCGGAGCUAACGCAUUAAGUGCCCCGCCUGGGGAGUACGGUCGCAAGGCUAAAACUCAAAGGAAUUGACGG